AGACGAAAGGCGCCAACAGGGGGCGUGGGAGCAAAAAGGAAGGCGCGCUCACAGCACUUUUUGCUAGGGUGAGUACCAGGAAGAGGAGUUCUUUGAAAUGAGAUGGAGCGAGCCUCUGGAGAGCAAGAAAGUAUAUUCCUAGAAUAUGAGAUACUUUCAGCUUGUUCCUUAAAUUGAAUGUCUGUAAAACGUCUUCCCCAUGUAACAGUCAUACUAAGGACUGCAUUGGUUUGCGUACAGAGAAGAUUCAGGAUGGAGCCUAACAUGUACUGAGCUUUCGAAAAAGCAUGAGGAUCACCGUGACGUUCUGUCACGAGGAGGAAAGAAGCAUGGAAGGCCCAUGUGUCAAACAGAAUCACCAUGCGACCUGGAAACCUAGGAAAAAUGAAAAACAAAUGUCCACACUGCAGUGCACACAAAUUUUCAUAACUGCCAGAGGUGAGAGUAACCUAAAUGUCAUCGUCUAACAAACUGAUCAAAUGUGGUAGAUCCUUGUUCAGCCAUAAAGGAGCAACGUGUUGAUACAAAUUACAAAUCAGAUGAGCUCUGAAAACACACAAAGUGAAACAAACACAAAAGGUAGCACAAUAGACAUCCAGAAUAGGUCUACAGAGGAACAAAAAGAGAUUGGUGGUUACCAAGGAUACCCGGGAGGAGAGGCAAGAGGCUGCUACAGGUAGCUUUUCUCUGGAGUCAGUGGUGAUUGCUGCUAUUACGCUGACUUGUACAUUACCCAUUUUUUGGUUUAUGUAUUCAGUGUAUGUGUAUAUAGAGGGCACAUGUGUGCAUGUGAAUGUGUGUAUGUGUGUAUAUGCCUGUGGCUAACCCUGCGUCUCCUCACUCACUCACCUCAUUCACUGAGCCAGUCUCUCAAUGGAGCCUGGAACUCUGCUUUGACUCAUAGGGCUAGCUUGAUUAUUCCAGGGAAUCCCUGCCUCUCAGGAAUUUUAGGCAGGCUGCCAUGUCCAUCAGAUUUAAGAAUCUAGAUACCUGUCCCUACACUUGCAUGGCAAAUAAUUCACCAAUAAAACCAUUUUCCCAGU
rnacentral:lncRNA from 1 species